GCACCGGUGGUGUAAUGGCGUAGAGCAUUUCUGCCCGAUCAGCAGGAGCUACAGGUUCGAAUCCUGUCUGGCGCU
rnacentral:tRNA from 1 species